rnacentral:rRNA from 1 species
AUACGGAGGAUCCGAGCGUUAUCCGGAUUUAUUGGGUUUAAAGGGUGCGCAGGCGGGAGAUUAAGUCGGCGGUGAAAUUUUGCAGCUCCACUGUAAAAGUGCCUUCGAAACUGGUUUCCUUGAGUGUAGAUGAAGUAGGCGGAAUUUGUGGUGUAGCGGUGAAAUGCAUAGAUAUCACGAGGAACUCCGAUUGCGCAGGCAGCCUACUAAACUACUACUGACGCUCAGGCACGAAGGCGUGGGGAUCAAACAGGAUUAGAUACCCUGGUAGUCCACGCAGUAAACGAUGAUUACUAGCUGUUUGCGAUACAAUGUAAGCGGCUGAGCGAAAGCGUUAAGUAAUCCACCUGGGGAGUACGUUCGCAAGAAUGAAACUCAAAGGAAUUGACGGGG